UACGGGGGGGGCAAGCGUUGUUCGGAAUUACUGGGCGUAAAGGGCUCGUAGGUGGCCAACUAAGUCGGACGUGAAAUCCCUCGGCUUAACCGGGGAACUGCGUCCGAUACUGGUUGGCUUGAGUUUGGGAGAGGGAUGCGGAAUUCCAGGUGUAGCGGUGAAAUGCGUAGAUAUCUGGAGGAACACCGGUGGCGAAGGCGGUUCUCUGGGCAUUACCUGACGCUGAGGAGCGAAAGUGUGGGGAGCGAACAGG
rnacentral:rRNA from 1 species